UAUACUAAUUAUAAUAAAUAAUUAGUAGUAUCACAAAACAUUACUUGUUUGUUGUUAGUAGUUAAUUCAUGUUUGAUAUUCGCCAAUUUGUUCACUAACUAUUUUGGUGUUAUUACUUAAUAUUGUUUAUUGGUAUUUACUAUUUUCCAUUUGCUAGGAACAUAAUAUGGUUGAUAAUUAUUAAAUAUAAUUAAAAUGAUUACAAAACAUCAGGUAAUAUGUCUUCUGCAACAAUUGGUAUAGGUGCUAUUAUUUUAAUUGGACUCUGGUCAUCUUCUUUUAUAUUGUGUCUUCUGUCUCUCCGAACACGUCAUAUUUAUUGGACCAAUUGUUUUUGGUAUCUACGAUCCUUUUAACAGUUAUAAUACUGUCCAUACCUCGAAGUUCAGUAGAUACACCUAAACCAGAUAUUAAGAUUGUAGAUCCACUGUUUGUUUGGCGUUUAUCAAUUUUGAGUGUACUAUCUAUAAGUACAGCAAUAGGAUUAGCAGCAUUGUUUUCUUCACAUGUUAUGAGUCGCAAAACUGUCCCGCAACUUAAAUCUUGGGUACUUUAAAUUAUUACAUAGUACAUUGUUAUAACAAUGUCUUUCAACCGCUUUCGUUGUUUGGAAAAAGUCCAUCAAACGGACUAAACGAUCAA